rnacentral:rRNA from 2 species
UUAAAUUGAAGAGUUUGAUCAUGGCUCAGAUUGAACGCUGGCGGCAGGCCUAACACAUGCAAGUCGAACGGUAACAGAAAGCAGC